GCCUCUCAAUCUUCAUGGCUACAUUCACCAUAUCUUCAAUCUCCACAUAAUGUUGCAAUUCUACAAGAUCAGCAAUGUUCUUGUUUAAUCCACUCAGGAAUCAAGCCAUGGUGGCCUCACGAUCUUCAUCCACAUUAGCCCUUAUCAUGGUUAUCUCCAUCUCCUUGUGAUACUCAUCAACACUCAUGGAACCUUGUGUCAAGGUUUGCAGCCGUUGAUGCAAAUCACUAUAGUAAUAGCUAGGGACAAAUCUCCUCCUCAUGAUUUGUUUCAUCUCCAACCAAGUCUCCAUGGGCCUUUCACCAUUUCUACGCCUGUCUUUAUACAAUUGAUCCCAUCAAACAAUAGCAUAAUCAAAAAAUUCAACAGCGGCUAAUUUUACCUUUUUCUCUUCAGAGUAGUUGUGACAUUCAAAUAUCAUCUCCACUUUUCGUUCCCACUCCAAAUAGGCAUCUGGAUUAUUCUUCCCUUGAAAAGAAGGA
rnacentral:lncRNA from 1 species